CUAUAAGGAUUGAUGUUUGGUAUUGUUGAACAUGUUAGUUUGAUGUAUAAGUCUCUACGGUGAUUGAUCAUUGUUUAACCAUGAAAAUAGUGAACAUGAUGCAUGAAAAUACGAUGAUUAGAAAUUCCAUGCGGGUUUAGCCCUUCGUCUUCCCUUAGUAAUGGUGAAAAUCAGUGGAUCUUGGUUCAAAAGGAUGAGCUGAAGGUCAAGUCCGAGUAAAAUGGUCCUUCGUUCUGGAUACCUGAAAUGAUCCUUCGGGCUAGAUAUGAGCCUUCAGGCUAGAUAUGAGCCUUGGGGCUGGAUAAAUUGUGGAAUCCUUAUCGAGUUCAAAAACGGUUGAAUUAAACAUGUAGUAUGCAUAUGAAAAAAAUACGAAAUUUUUGUGAGGAUGAAAUAAACAAGUGAAAAUAAUGGAAAAAUUUGUUAGACUGUUAUCUCUAA
rnacentral:lncRNA from 1 species